rnacentral:tmRNA from 1 species
GCUAACUCAGCUAUGGCAAUAACCAAGUGGCAGCACAAUGACGCAGCCGCAUCCGGGUUCAAGUCCCGGCGCCUCCACCA